rnacentral:lncRNA from 1 species
AAAAAAAAAAAAAAAAAAGUUUCCAUCUGAGAUUUGUAAAAAAGGUUUCACAAAUUCCCUUAUUAUUGUAUGUACGUAUUACCCUUAGUAGAACCCCUAAUAAUUCUACUCAGAGUUACUGUACCUUUCAAUAAUUUGAAGAAUUUUAAUUACCUGUUUUUUAAGCCUGUGUGAGUACAUAGCAUAUUCUUUGGGUAGACCAGGUAAUGUAUAUGGAAAGACACAGUUACAAACUAGGGAGAGCAGUAUGUACUAUAUGUAAUGAAAGGGGAAAAGGAAAAAUGAGAAAGUUGGUGACCUGGAGAGUUGAGAGUAGGAGUGUUGAAGGAUGAGGAAGUGGUUUUGAGUAGAGAUUCAGAUCAUCUUUAAACAGAAUGUGGAUUAGUAUUGAAAGGAGUGAAAGAGGUCUGUUUAAUUUCAAGGUGGAAUUUUUCUGUAGAAUUGAAAAUGAUAUAUAUUUUCCGAGAUUGUUGUAGAGACAAAAUGAGAUAGUUUUUCUAGAAAGUUUUGAAAACAAAGUUAUGUUUAUUAUCAUCAUCAUUAUUAUUAUUAUUAUUACAUUUUCACUUUAUUGAUAUGUUGUGGUUAAAAAUUUUAAUAUAUUCAUGGUGACUUUCGCUCCCUUUAUUGAAUUUUUGAAUAGUUCUAAAGCAAAUGUUGUGAAAACACAAUGCACAAAAACUGUAUAGUGGGGUUUUAAAUACUUCUUCUCUAGAAUUGGGGUUGACUUAGAAAUUUUAUUUUAACCUUCAAAAAUGGCAGUUUUACAUAAUUCUGUCUUAUAAAUCACACUUAGCAGUUUUGUAAGCAUAGUUAAAUUUUUGAAUAUUUAAGAAUAAAAGGAUGCAUUUUAUUUUAUUAUAUAAAUGUGAACCAUUUCAAAAUGCUAACAAAGAAGUGAGAAAGAGAAUUUUGUAUUGUUUCCUUACUAGUUAUUAUCAUUUAAAAAUUUGAGCAAAAUGAGCUUUAGACUUAAAAGCCAACCAGUAACAGUCUCUGAAUAUCGAGGUAAAAUCAUUUCAAAGAUUAAGAAUAGCGACCUCUAAUUUUAUUAAGUAAAUACUGAUUUACUUAAUUCCACAUUGGUAAAUAAAAAAUAUCUGUAACCUCUACUUUCCUCCUAUUUGUAGUAGUAUUGGUAAUAGGGGAAAAAAUUCAUUUUUGUUUCGCCACCAAAUUACUGUUUCCCUCAUAUGCUUCUUUCUUUUUCUUUUCAUCAUCUUUAUAGGGUUGCACCCAUGGCAUAUGCACGUUCCCAGGCUAGGGGUCGAAUCAGAGCUGCAGCCUCUGGCCUAUGCCGCAGCCACAGCAAUGCAGGAUCUGAGCUGAGUCUACAACCUACACCACAGCCCAUGGCAAUGCCGGAUCCUCAACCUACUGAGAGAGGCCAGGGAUUGAACCUGCGUCCUUAUGGACACUAGUAAGAUUGUUUUCUGCUGAGCCAGGAGGGGAACUCUCCCUCAUGUGUUUUUUAUAUUAACAAACAACUACCUGUACUUUAGCCAGGGAUAUGACUUGAUUUGAUAUGACUUUUUUGUGAUAUCAAUUUGUAUAUUUAUAUCGCAUAAGGACAAUGAAUCUAAUUCUGUGGAUUUGGGUAGCAGGAUGUUUCUAAGAUAUGCAUUUAAUUUUCUUCAUUUUUAUCACUAUGUUAUAUGUAAAUGUAUAGUUUCAAACAUUUUUAAGAGCGUAUUUCCAAAUUGACAUGAAAUUCCAGCAUGUUUAAACAUUUUUAAAUGUAUGUCCACGUAUGAUUAUUAUUAUUAUUAUUUAUAUAUAAAUAGGUAACUAUAUUUUCUAACUAUAAAAUUAAUGAAUUUUAAUAUGAACAGCAUGUUAUGUAGUCAGGCAAGUAACAUUCAUAAAUAUAUUCUUUUAUUCUUAAAUAUUUCAAAAAUUAAGUAUACACAGGUAAAAUUCUGAGAUUAGCACAUUUUUGAAUUGAUAAGUUAUAUAUUUGUAUUGUAUUUGUCAUUAGAAAAUACAAAAUGGUGGAAUAAUGUGAAAUAUUUGAAAUAUCUUAGGAAAGUCAUCACCUUAGUGUUUGUUAGUGGUCUUAGAUUAUUUAAAAAAUAAGAAUUGUGAUAUAUUUGAACAGCUAGAAGUUAUGUCUAGACUUCCUUUCAAGUUACUAUUGAUCUAAAUGCAGUGGAAAAUAGCAAAGCAGGUGCCAAAUAUGAUACAUGUGAAAGCAUUUCCCCCUAGAGGAGUAUUUUUCCCUCUUCAAGGGUAGCAGUAAAGAUCUUGAUCUGGUGGUCUGAGCUGUGUCACCUUUUUUUAAGAGAGUUUAAAAGUCAUUUGCUUUGCUAUGAAAGUGAAUUAUGUGGUAUUAAGUACUGCAGUAGCACCAUUAAACAUUAUAUCAUCAAUCUUUUUAAGAUGUGGAAAGGUCAGUGUCCCAAAGGCCAUUUUUUAAUUCCCUUUUUAACUCCAAGCUGAAAGCAGUUUUCAUUGUUUCUUUUUUCCUACAACUGAUAUAAUCCUCCAAAAAAUAAAAGCCUCCCAGUACCUCCUAGGCAUAUUCAGCCCAAAUCCAAACAUUAUGGAGAUUGUCUUUAGAAUAUAGACAGAGAUUGUCUUUAAAACACAAACAAAUGAAUGGGACUGUCUGCAAAACUGAAUAGUAAUGUUAGUUAUCAUCAGGUAGCUAAGAUGUACCCACAAUAUUAAAAAUUCCUAGAAGUCCUUGGAUUUAUAACUAGUAGAAAUAUAUUGUGUAGUUGCUUAUUCAGUAUAAUUAAACUCUCUAACAUGUAAUUUUAGGAAUAAACACAAUAUCGAAUUUUUUAUUCUUUUAUAGAAAUUAUUAUUUGUGUUUGUCAAGAUACUUUUG